AUUGAACGCUGGCGGCGUGCUUAACACAUGCAAGUCGAUCGGUAACGCGGGGGCAACCCUGGCGACGAGAGGCGGACGGGUGAGGAACGCUUGGGAAUCUGCCCUUCAGCGGGGGACAACACGGGGAAACUCGUGCUAAUACCGCAUACGCUCCACGGAGGAAAGCCGGGGACCGCAAGGCCUGGCACUGAAGGAUGAGCCCAAGUCGGAGUUGCUAGUUGGCGGGGUAACGGCCCACCAAGGCGACGAGCCGUAGCUGGUCUGAGAGGACGAUCAGCCACACUGGGACUGAGACACGGCCCAGACUCCUACGGGAGGCAGCAGUGGGGAAUAUUGGACAAUGGGCGAAAGCCUGAUCCAGCGACGCCGCGUGGGUGAAGAAGGCCUGCGGGUUGUAAAGCCCUUUCGGUAGGGACGAAAGCUCUCGACCUAACACGUCGGGAGGUUGACUUAACCUACAGAAGAAGCACCGGCUAACUCUGUGCCAGCAGCCGCGGUAAGAC
rnacentral:rRNA from 1 species